rnacentral:tRNA from 1 species
GCGUCUGUGGCUCAACUGGAUAGAGCUCCCGGUUUCGGCCCGGGUGGUUGGGGGUUCGACUCCCUCCAGGCGUA